rnacentral:lncRNA from 1 species
AUUGGUGACCUAGAUGGUCAGGGUCUUUCCUUACCUUAGCUGAGCCUUAUGUCCCUUCAACAUUCCUAUUCAUCUUGCCUUGUCUUGGGCACCGCAGUGGACUGAUUAUCCUAUAUAUAAUAUCUACUCUAAAGAUUAAGAGGAUAGAGGGUCUCCCUUCCAUAGAUUCGAUUGGGAUUGAUUCUCAGGAUCGAGCCCUUAUCAGAGGCGUGCCUACCGACACCUGUCAAAGUCUUCGGCUUGCACGACGUCUCCUUCCAUUUGCUCCAGCUAUGAAAGAAAAGAAUGGGCGCAACACUUUAUUCUCUUCUACCGCUCUUUGUUUACUUCUGGCCUUCCCGAACUCCUACACGGGGGGAGUCAGAUCUUGGAGUAAGCUCCUUUCCAUGGGCAAUCUACUCAAGAGUUUAGGCCCCUAAUUCGGUCUAUGUCUGAGCUGCUGCCGUACUCAAAGGCGAGGGGCUCAAAAAGUUUAUACAAUCGGCCUCAGAGGAGAGGGGAGGCUACUUGGGAUUCUAGGUAAAGUGCUUUUUUUGUAUAUAGGCCUUCGUAUAGGAUAGGAUUUUCAUUCCUCCCGCCAAAGCUAGAAAAGAAAGGAGCUCUCUCUUUUUUCCAUCCUUCUUUUUAUUUUAAAGGCAUAUAGUGCGUUCUCGCUUUCAGGGGGAAUUCUUGGAAAAAUCUAGUACAAGGAGGAAGCGAGGGUGGGACAAGUGAAUCCGAUGUGAGGGAAGGAUUGCUGCAUCAGUCGAAACUAGGGCUUAUGUAAUUAAAUCAGAAAUGCACAUGUAAGAUAAGAAUGGAACGAGACAGCCAAAGCAGGGAUUGAUCUAUUCCAAAACCACUAGGUAGGGACCUAUUCCUAAGCCAUUUUCAGUAGACAGAAAGGGAAAAGGACUAAAAACAUUCUUCGCAAGAUGAGAGCAAGGAUUAGAUGAAGCCGACUUUGUCCAUCUCGCAUAUCAACUUCCUCUAUCGAUAACGUAAAGCCGCCCAACACAGAGAACGAACAUGGUCGGUAGGUAAUUAAUCUUCAUUUGGAUAGCAGUACGGUACACGCAUCAAGAUAUGAUCUUUGCUUUUCCAUCCCUGGCAUUCAAAAGAAAGGGGGGAAAGGGAGAGUUAAAAGCACCCUGUAGAUAAAGAUCGAGAGCCUGUAGACCGGGGUUGAACCAUAUCCCCCUUCUGUUAAUCGAGAGUGUGACGAAGUGAACCGCAAAUAUUGUGCGGUAAACUGAUGCUGUGAGGCGGAGAUAGCUGCACUUCUUGUUCUUUUUUCCCUUCGAUUCUUUAACGCUUCUUUCAGGUCUCGCUACCCCUGACCAUAAGAAGAAUGUUAUACUAUAAGAGCGAGGUGCAAGUGCUGCAUAAAGUUCUGUUAUCCGUUGUUCAAGCCUUUCUUUGAGCAGAGCGCUUUCUUUCCGGUCAUUGGCAAGCGCAGAUGGGCUUUCACACCCGCUUAUGUUGUGGGUGGGAUGAAGGCAUCUAUCUUAUUAUAUGGAAGAAGAUCGUUAGAUGGUUAGCGGCUAGAACAAAACAAGGGGCGUUGUAUGGAGGUUUCCAAGCAGAGGUGCGAAGCAAUUGAGAUGCAUAUAGAAUAGAUGGUAGGGUUCCAAACCUCGCCUAGCACCGAAAGAGAAGGCCUUGUUCUGCAGGGUACGGCCCUGGACAGUGGAAAAAUAGAAUAAGAUGGAGCCUACCUACUUGGUUCGGACGAAGUAGAUAGAUCAAAGGAAUGGAAUCUAGGUGGUUCUUAUGCAACUUUUGAUGGUCUCGGAGAUAGAUGGAAAAGCAUUAGAUCGAUGGCCGGGGUAAUUUCUUUCCCACUCUGAGGCAUAUUGAUCUGGAUCCCUGGGAACAGGUUUUUGAGAAGUAGAUGGCUCGGCUCCACUGGGAGAUGGGAAACUAUAUGCGCAGUUAGAGGCAGAGGGACUUGUACUUGGCUAACCAUCAGAGGGAUGGUAAGUAGAUUGUUCGAUAGCUUACCCACGAAGAUGGAUUUUCUUCUGGUCGGCCACCAUAGUACUAAGACUAAAAGCCUGCUAGGCAGUCUACACAGAAGGGAAGUCACCAAACGUAGGAAAGAGUACCUUUUUCUUACUCGAAGGAACCGCUACCAUAGGAUUGUUGACAAGGAUGCCUUAUUGUUUGGACUUUCACUAAGGAUAGACCUAGGAUUGAAAGAGUCGCAAUAGAUGGAUAGCAUCUUCAAUGGAUUGAUGGCUUCUUCAGAAAAGGCUUGGCCUUCAAAAGAUGAGGACUUUUUUGGAAGGAUAGAGUCAUUGUAUUCUCGAGUACCGAUUCUCUUUUAGGAUGGUAUUCUAUUGAAUGAAGGCUACCUUUUUACUUGGCAGGAUGGGGUAGACAGAUAUAGUACGAUUGGAUUGAUGGAUGGUGCACUAUCCUUCUCCCAAUCAUUUCUCAGCAAAACCAACGAGUACAACUUAUUAAAGGGAAACUACGAAAAAGAUCUUAGAGCUAGCUCCCUCAAUCAUCCACAGCUCCGGGAUUAAUGUGCUCUUUUUUAUGCUGGAGUCAUAGCUUAUCCAAAAUUCUUAUUCCCACCCCUACAAGGUCUUUAAAUAAAAUGAAGAUAAGACGAUAACUUAUCGUCUGCAUCUAUAACUACUUCUGGUUUAUAUACACUGCUAAAAGGUUGAAUUCCAAACGAUUAGGUUAGGGCAGGGUGGAGUUCCUCUUUAGCACUGUUCUUUUAGGAGUAGUUCCUUCUAAUCAAGGUAUAAAAGCAAAAGCAAAAGCCUGGUUAAGCUUCGACGAGCUGCCUAUUGAUACUCCUAACUUUUCCACUGUUGCUUAGUUCUGGGUAGAUGGGUUGGGCUAGCCACAAAGGUACGCCCGGGCCUCUGAGAGUGACCGACCUUGGCACCUUCACUCACUCAGUCCCCAACUAUAGUGGGAUCCCUACCCAAUGACUGUAUUCCUGAGCCCAUAAGCAUAAGUAGAAGGACUGACCAAUCCCAGAUAAAGAUAGACGGUGAACCAAGAAGAUCAAAAAGCAUUUUCAUUCCCUCUCUUUUCUCCCUGGAAACUAUACUGGGGAACUAAGCCUAAAUGAAAUGGUAGGUUUCGACAUCUUUUUCCCUUCGCUGACUCUUUAUCUUCAGCUUCAAUUACAAAGCAUUCUGCUUCCGAGAAAUUCUGCCUUUGAGCGACGACUUUUGGAGCAGGAGUAAUAGGGCAAAGCAAGCCUACACUGGCCACUGUCACCAUCCUUUCUUUAUUAGUUAGUGCCAGCUCUAGCUCUCCCGAUGAAGAAAUCUCUGUCCUACUGCAUGUGUCGGUCUUUCCAACUCGACAUGUGAUCUCAACCUCCUCAUUACGAGGCGGGCAAUGGAAUGAAACCAUCGGAUGCUAAUCCUAGGUUCACAAAUCUAAAGAAAUCAAACUGACUUACUGUCCUCGGAGACAUUUCAGAGGUCUUUGAUAGAGUUCAAUAAGCCCUUUUCCACAGUUAGAGGAGUGGCCAAAGGACGAGAAUCAAGUAUAUCUGCACGAGGCAGGAGUUCUAGGGCAUAUUUUUGCUGACGAAAGAUAAGAGUGCGCCUCUGCCGAUACACUUCCAUACCAAGAAAGUCGUGGAGAAGGCCCGACGUCUUUCAUAUUUUCAUGAGCAUGCAAGAACGAAAGAAGAGCAAGUAUUCCCUGUUGAUCACUACCUGUGAGAAAAAUAUCAUCGACAUAUAAAAGAAGGUAGAUACUAUCCCCAGAUGUGUGACGAAUGAAUAAAGAGGUAUCACAGUGGGGCCUGUCUUCUGUCCGGUUCUUGGGUCCGGUCGAGCCUCUUUGAAAUUACAUCCCUGCCUCUCGUCUAACUCGAGUUGCCCCGCUCCUUUGGCAGUUAAAGUAGCUCGCUUCAAGAAGUAAGAUUAUAUCCCUAGGGGUAUGUUACGAGCAGAAGUUCUCUUGCUAGUGGAAGUAAGAGUAGCAAGGUUAGGACCGCAUAUAAAUAGAAUAGGGGAAAGAAAUUUGAUUCCCUAGAAGUUUGUCCGGUUGGGAAAGCCAGAACUCUUGUAAACCAGCUUGAUAAAGGGUAGUGGUAGGGACAGUCUCAGUACCACUUUCAGUGCGAUAGUCCUUCAUUGCGACUUAGAUUGCACGAUCAAGAUCAAAGUGUCCGUUCGGUAAGUCAGCCAGUCGUCAUCUUAUCUUGAACGAGCAUCGUCGUCCCCAUCACUUCCUCAUCCUCAACCUCUAGAGGAGUGGAAGAGACUUCUUUGUCCUUCUUGUUUUGACUUUUGCUCUGACUUCUUCUCAUCUAAGCAUUUGCUUCGGCCUACAAAAGCUCGGACGAGCGGGGAAUAUCAUAAACUCAAAGAAGACCAGGGUCAGCCGACCUAGAAGAAAACACAAAUAGAGAUAGGUCAACUGAUUAAUAGGUAUACUUGUCAAGCGACACAGAAACAGGUACAUAAGGAAUCACAUCAUCACCUCCUUCUUGCUCUUUGGCUUUAUUAGUGUCAGUUGAGGCCUCUCUUUGAUCAUUCCUGUCUUUCAGUGCUUGCCCUUUCUUUGUUAAAUAAAGAUCUUCAUCGAUCUCCAAUACGGCUGUCACUCUUAUAGGAUAGGGAGAAUUUACGUAUUACGAGAAUGUCGUUGAAGUAGGAUCGCUAGUGGGAUAGUCCAGUGGUACUCCUUGCCUCUGUUGACACAAUUAACCAACGGGGACCGACAGACAGCUUGCUUAGUAAAGUCUUUUAUCUUCCAUUCAGGGGUCAUGAAUGAUUAAGAGAAACGAAGGGUGAGUGCAACGAACUAGAAUUUGGGACCAGUCUUGUAGCGAAUAAAGGAAAAAGGUCCCGGUAGGGGUCAGCAGCGUCGGGAGGCGGAGGUGAACAACAAGGACUAUCUCUCGUAGCCGAUAUCCCACCCUUCUUCCGUAAGGAUGGAUUCGGGCUUAAGCCAACUCGACCAAGGGGGGAGGAUAACUCCUUUUCAAUAAUAGGAGCGUAACCUACUACUAAUGUAUGUAGACCAAGGACUUUCCAUUUCAACGGGAUUCUCGUCUCCAGCUCUUUCCCACCAGCUCGUUCUUUACUAGGCAUCUAGGCGAACCCGCCGGGUUAAUUAACUCAACGUAAAGAAAGCUCAUUAGAUCAAAACUAGGGGAGUGCUUACUAAUAGCGAAAGGUUAACAUCUCUCCGCCCUUAUUAGUAGUAGCGAACAUCAGGUAACUUCGUGCUGUAAAACGAUAGAUUGGUAAUGAAACGCAAUGUACUAAGAAAGCGCAACUCUAUUAGACCUUUAUCUGGAAAAAGCUAGAAGAAAGGCGAGAAAGAAAGGUUGCCUACUACUAAUAAGGGCGGGUAAGAAAGAGAGGAGAGGUGACUAGCUUUGUAACUUUAUUCAAUCUAAAAGGUUGGCUCAGUGCCCUAUCCGCCUUUAAGUGAAGGGGCGUAUCCACCGAAGAUGGCAGCGGGAAAGACGGGAGCACGAAUAAGGUAGCUUAUAUUUUUUUUCAUCCUCACUACCUAGUUUAUAGUAGAAUCUAGAGAAUAUGAACUUCUCGUAUUCUUCUUUUUGGUACGUUGUUAUGAGCAGCUCUGGUGCUCGAUCUUAGGUCUGAGGUAUGGGUCGAAUCAUGAUAAAGAAGGUUCGGUGGUUUUAUAAUUCCCAAGCGGAAAGUAGUAUACUUUCAAAAUAGAUGGAGUGAUCAAGCGGCCCUUCUUGCGCCAACAUACAUCCAAUGGCAUAGCGUGAUACGUCAGUGUGAACAUGGAACUCUUUAUUCCAAUCCGAAAACUGAAGGAUUGGGGCUGACAGCAAACACUCAUCUGCAUGCUUAAAGGCUUAAUCCUGUUCCCGUUCCCAAGCCUUAUACCUUUCUUCUGCAAUGAUUCCAUUCUGGGAUUCCGUGCUUCGAAAAGUCUUUUUUGAUGUGUCUGUAAUAGCCUAUGUGUCCCAACUUCGAAGCUCAACUUAGCCUAAGACUUGGGAAUAAAGCGAAGGAAAGGUUAAUAUUACUAUAUUAUUUCUUCCCUCUUCUUCCUCCCUGACUUCAUACUCGCUCUAACCCAACAAAAAGGCAGAGUUCCAUUUGGUGGGUGGGUCUAGGGCGAACGAAAGAGAUGUGUAGCAGAGGGCAGGUGAGGCAUUGUGUCGUCGAAUAGAAAGACAUUUGCUCUUCCAUUUCUUAGUAGGAUUGCUCCUAUGUUAGCAGGACAUUUCGUGCAAGAACUAGGUUUGAGUUAGUGCACUAACUAGGUUGUUUUAUCUCGCCUAAUGGCUCUAUCUCUGAGGUAACCCGGACUAGUAGCAACCGAUUCUAGUAAAUGACGAUAUUGUUUCAUAGAAUUAGUUGUUCUUUCUCUCUCUUUUCUUCUAGAGAAAUUGAGUCGUUCAUUUCGGUCUAACUUCGUUACUGUACCCCGAUCUCACUCCGACAGCGUACUAUCCUAGACCUCUGUCUAUCCCGACAUUGAUAGAAAUUCAUAGUUAGGUUAGCCAUCCCAGUAACCCAGACAAAUGGGAGGCUCCGCACUUUACCUAUCAUACGAUUCUGCCAGACUAUUUUAUUUCAUUCAUUCUCCAUUCCGUCUACUCUGGGAACCCAUAAUCUGACGAUUCUUUCACAUAUGAUCUUUUUUGUGAAUUCAACAUCAGUGAUCUACGACCAUCCUUUGUUCUUUUCAUUCCAAAAAGGAAUAGUUGGCUGAUAGGUGCCCAGCCCAGGUCUGGACAUCAUUCCUUUCUCCUUCUCUAGCUACUGGUGAGGGGCAAUCGACCAAUCCCUGGAACCACAUUUGUUGAUAAGUAUAUGGAUAGAUAGAUAGCAAUUCUUCCUCUCGAUGACAAGGGACGGAAAGAGAAUCUGCUUUCAUCGGAAUAUCCGAUUCAAAGGCAAGAGACGAAGAGACAAUAAGUUAAUUUUGGAUCACAGAAAGGAUCGGAUCGAAGGAGAAAGGUUAGGCACUUCCUAAAGUCAUUUCAAUAAGAGGUUGCUUCUUGCAUCAACGUUAAUUCAACUAUUUCAUUGAUCCAAGGAUGAAUUUCCCUUAGCCCUUAAGCUUCAAGCUAGAAAGCCGAAAUUAAGUCAACAAGUACGGAUUUUUACACUGGCAUCUUAGAAUAAGAAAGGAUUGUUCCUGAUCCGGAAUUUGCAACAAAACAUAAUUAGAAGCAUGCUAUGCUAGCAUAGAAUAGUUGUACCGAGUGAAAACUUCUUUUCUUAGGAUUAACAGUAUAAAGAUCUUUUUCGUUGAUAACAAGCCUUUCUUUUCUUCAUAAAGGAAGAGAACCGAAAAGCUUUGAUGCGAGGAAAGUCAGUCUAUAAAGACGGACUAAUUGUCUCUCUUCUGCCUAUCACUUUAUCUAAGCUCCAGUUAACCCAAUGCAAGACAGAGGGAUCUAUAAUCAGACUGACUCUUCUCUUUCCAAAAGUGGAAUGCUUCUUUUAUGCCAUUAUCUUCCUGCCAAACCUACUAGUUCGAUCCAACCCAGCGGACUUAGAGCAAGAAAUGCGUACUUUCAGAUAAGCCUAUCAUCUUGAAAUAGUUCCAACCUAAUCUAAGAUGACGAUUCGAAGAGCCAAUUAGCCGUAAGCAGAUGACUAACUGUCUCUGUAAACCACUGAUUCAAGGCCUAGUUGAAUUACGGCUAUUCUCACUAGUCUUUAUUUCCCUUCUCAUCCAGCUUGAGAUUAGUUCUUACGUCGAGUGGGUUACAGGCUUUAAGAAAGCACUACUGGGCCCACGACUUCUCGAAGCCGAGAGGCUAAAGAAAAAGUCAAGUCCAUCAACUGAUGAAGAGAAGAAGGAAAUGUCUCUUGUUCCUUAUUCUUAUGUAGCUGGUAGUUUGAUGUAUGGCAGGGUUUGCACUAGGCCAGAUAUUGCACGGUACUGUUAGUAGCUUUCUUUCUAAUCCAGGAAAGGUGGACCUUGGGCAACUUGACUGGUUGGACAGGAGCUUUUCUCUCUUCUUUGCUUUUAUAUAAUAUUCUCCGCCGCUUCUAAAGGAAACGGUUCUUAGGUCGGUGAAACUGUCCCCAAAGCCAAGCUCGUGACAAGGAAUUUUUGGUCAUAUCCGUUGGUCUUGCUGUUACGGUUUAGGGUGCUCUGGAAAAGAUGACUAUGUACCUUCCCUUUACUGGUUAUCAUACCAAUUAGCAGAGCGAGUACCCGAGACGAACAGAGAACUAAGUCGAAAGAAAUCCAGUUAGUCCUAAAGUCUUGGAAGUGGGUUAUGGGGUUGAAAGUGUCGAACCAUUCUCAUAUCGUGUAAGUAGGGUCAUCGCCUUAUAAGACCUUUGCAAGGAAGGGAAAGGAGGGAGAAUAAGGGAAGGUGCCAAGUAGCUGAUUGCACAUUACUAAGGCAAGGAAUAAGACGUCUGAGAAAGGAUGCCGAAAAAAGGCUUCAAUUGUUUCUGGUGCAAAGUCAGUAGUACUAGGGCCUUCGAGUUGGAAUUUCCAACUAUAAACAAGUGUAGCGAAGUCACCUCCUUUGCUGAAUCAGGAAUAGCCAACUCCAGGUAAUACCAGCUCAAAGACGAUGACUAGUAGAUCCCUUUUUCUUGGCUAUAUGAUAUCAUAUCAGACAGAAUAGACCGGGCCAAAGAGCACUAACCGGGAGCGAAGGGUCCAGAAGUGAGCGGAAGGAAAGGGAGUGAGUGCGCCGCAAGACCAGAGAAGGCAACUUGUGAAGUGACCUUCACUCGGGAACGGAUUCGAUAGGGCCGCGAGAAGCCUUGUUUUUGUCUUUCUAUCACGUCCGGCUAUUCCUACUGAGUCCUCCCUGCAACAUCGUUAAGUUUUGUCAAUAACCGUUUUUACGCUUGGGGGAAUGUCUAGAGAUUUCUACCUCAAUUUUAUGGUUGUAAAAAACUAUCUGCUUUAGAUGGUAACCAUAUUGACUCUUCCUCUUGACCUCUUGUCUUGGGUUGAGAGAGCCAUGGAUUGCUCUCGGCAAGGAACUUUCUCUCUUAAAGAAGGUCUUCCAUGCCUGGCACUUUCCUCAAACAAAGUAAAAUCACAACAGUUUCAUUUCGUGCUUAGGAUGGCAUAACCUUAAAAUGUUGGGCGAGGUUUAAAGGAGGAAAGGCAUACGGUGGUUACCUAGGCACCCAGAGAGGAGGAAGGGCAUAGUAAUCGACGAAAUGCUUUGGGGAGUUGAAAAUCAGCAUCGAUCCGGAGAUUCCCGAAUAGGGCAACCUUUUGAACUACUGCUGAAUCCAUGGGCAGGCAAGAAAGAACCAGGCGAACUGAAAGAUCUUAGUAGCCAGAGGAAAAGAAAGCAAAAGCGAUUCCUGUAGUAGCGGCGGGCGAAAUGGGAGCUACCUAAACCAUGAAAACGGGGUUGUCGGAGAGCAAUACAAGCGUCGUACAGCUAGGCGAAGAAGCCCAAAUGCUACACCGUAGAUGGCGAAAGUCCAGUAGCCGAAAGCAUCACUAGCUUAGGCUCUGACCCGAGUAGCAUGGGGCAUGUGGAAUCCCGUGUGAAUUAGUAAGGAACACCUUUCAAGGCUAAAUACUCCUGGGUGACUGAUAGCGAAGUAGUACCGUGAGGGUAAAGAACCCCCGAGAGUGAAAUAGAACAUGAAAGCGUAAUCUGCCAAGCAGUGGGAGGAGCCAGGGCUCUGACCGUAUGCCUGUUGAAGAAUGAGCCAGCGACUUAUAGGCAAUGGCUUGGUUAAGGGAACCCACCGAAGCCGUAGCAAAAGCGUGUCUUCAUAGGGCAAUUGUCACUGCUUAUGGACCCAAACCUGGGUGAUCUAUCUAUGACCAGGAUGAAGCUUGGGUGAAACUAAGUGGAGUUCCGACUGACUGAUGUUGAAGAAUCAGCGGGUGAGUUGUGGUUAGGGGUGAAAUGCCACUUGCACCCAGAGCUAGCUGGUUCUCCCCAAAAUGCGUUAAGGCGCAGCAGUUGACUGGACAUCUAGGGGUAAAGCACGGUUUCGGUGCGGGCCGCGAGAGCGGUACCAAAUCGAGGCAAACUCUGAAUAUUAGAUAUGACCUCAAAAUAACAGGGGGGCAAGGUCGCCUAGUGAGACGAUGGGGGAUAAGCUUCAUCGUCGAAUGGGAACCAUUGUCACUAUCUCAUAAGUUUAACCAAAGUUGUUAGACUCUGAAGGUGAGUGCCAUAACUAUCCUCUCCCACGAAACGAUUUUGGAUAACCUACUCAUCACCCUCUCUCUUUUGAGCGGUCAACAAGACUCCAACCAAGUAACAUUUUUGUCUAGCCAUUUAAGGAGAAAAAACAUGCAUCACCCACUUACUCUUAACAAGGACUCUUUUCAGUAUUUUCCCAAAAACAGCAAUUAGGAAUAGAGAAUAUAUAUCAAAGAAAGGUCUAACUGUUGGAAUCAUUUUUUCCAUUGCUAUUUGAUACAUUUCGGUCAUUAACAUUAGUGAAUUAGGUGAAAGUGCGGAAAGAGAGGGAUUCGAACCCUCGGUCAACAAAAUCCUACAUAGCAAUUCCAAUGCUAUGCCUUAAACCACUCGGCCAUCUCUCCUACAUAAUGAUUAUAACCCAAAAACCGAGUGAAUAGCGAGUCAGUCAUAAACAAUUAUUGAUUGGAUAGGUACGACCAAUCCAUUCUAACUAGAAAAAUCAUAAAUUUGGCAUUCCCGUUUUCUUUUUUUGAAUAUCCUCCUUCCUUGAGUGAAAUUCAUUUUGUAUCGUACAAGAAAGGAAUUCUAUUUGUGUAUAUGCUCCCGAUAAAAAGAAAUAAGGUACUUUAUUCCAUUACAUACAUGGAUCGGGUUGAAAAACCAGACCCAGUCUCUCUUGGAAUCCUGAAUAUGCCAAUAAAUAAUGAAUUGUACUAAUCCACAUAUGCCUCUCUCCCAUCAAUCGGUACUAGUUGAAGUAAUGAAAAAAUCCCCUUUCCAACCAGUCAAGUAGCCCAAGGGCCACCUUUCAUGAGAAAUACAAAACAAAAAAGAAAAAAAAAAUCCCUCGUUGGGAAUGAAAUUAUGCUCCCUGUCCCCCUUUCACAAAAAAUGGAGAGAUGAAUUGAUAUAUUUAUUGAAUCCGUCGGGACUGACGGGGCUCGAACCCACAGGUUCCGCCUUGAUAGGGCGGUGCUCUGACCGAUUGAACUACAAUCCAGGGAAAAUUAGGUGUACAGACCCUAAAUCAAUUUAGAUUCGAACCAUUUAGUUUCGCUGUGUUGUAAGAGAGAGACGAAUGAUAUACUUUAUUAUUAUUAUUAUCUAAUUAUAUAUAUAUAUUAUGAAAAAAAAAUGUAGUAGACUCAUAGUGGGCUAAUUCGUAAUUGAAUCAUGACUAUAUAAGCUAUUCUGAUAUUAAGAGAUUUAAUAUAGAUUGAAUUCGUGGAAGCGGAACUUUGAUUUCCUUGGACCACGUAAGAAUUCGUCGUCUGAUUGAAUCUAUUUUUUCCUGGAUGCUCUAUAGGAAUCCAUCACUAUUCCUUUCCUCCACCGAUAAAGGUUCAUCCCGAGUCACAAGAGCAAUCUCUUUUUUUCAUUCUUUUUUCUUUUCGUUAUGGUAAUGCAAGAGAUCGGAAAUCUGGUUGUUUCUGAUGAUGAAAAGUGCUUUUAUCUUAUGUUCAAUUUAUGAAAACCCGAAAUGUCGGUAAUGUUAGAAGAUGACCGUAGGCAUCUGAUGGUCAGAUGCCGUAGGUCGGUAUAUCUUUGAAAGCUCAGAUGGAGAGAAUAAAUGGACUCCUCAAGGGCUACUUAAGCCACUUUAGUGUAAACCAAAAGGACUGGAGCUGUUGGAUGUUGCUUAGUCCUGCUAUAACUUAACAACCUAAAAGCUCAGCAUCGAACUUCAUCCCCUUCGAGUUAGCCAUGGGGUAACAGCCUCUGACGCCCCACACCAUUGCGACAGGAGGGGGCUUGCCCAUCAGCCUACUUUGCCAAGAGGUGGCAGGAGCGCAACGACCUUAGCCCAAACCUACUUAAACAACCUAAAGGCUUGGCCCGGUCUAAAAGUAGACCUUGUAGAAAAGCGGAUAGAAAAGGUAGCCUAUAGACUAAAGCGACCAGCUCGGUGAAAACGAACCCCGUAUUCCAUGUGAGUCAGUUGACUUCGAUUAGACCAGACCGCCCCAGAGAGGAACGUGCCCACGAGGGCACCACCAGAUGUUGUAGAUAAACCUACUAAAGAAGAAGUUGAGUAUAUCAUAGCUGGCCGCACCAUGGGCUAGCCCAUACACCCACUGCACGAGUGGAAUACUACUUAGUCAAGUAGAAAGGCCAACCUGAGAGCGAGGCAAGCCGGGAAGGGGCUGAGACUUAGGAUUCGAAGACCAAGUCAGAGACUACUAGACGUCUUGCAGAGCGACUAUCAACGAGGACGUUGAGACUGUUCGAAAAAAAAAGAUUUUUUGGCUUAAUCCGCCUUUACUAAAGAAAAAAGAGUACACUUGUACUUCGGCUAAUAAGGGAAAGGUCUUUUUUUCAAAUCCGACGUUUGACUCUGAUUAGAUCCUUAGCACAAGCGCUAAGUAAGUAAGCAAGCUACCGCUCCGUGGGGUAAAAACCGAGGAAAAUAAAGAACGUCAAGUAGAAAGGAACAAGGUCUUACGGCACGAUCACUAUAUCUUUGAUUUUUCUUUAUCUCUCCUCGGCUUGAGCCGAGUGGAUGAUACGUGGCAUGGUAUACCUGAUCGUUUAGUCAAAAAAAAGUACGUAAGUCGACAUAGCUCCAUGUAUAUGUUCUUUGGAGCUAGAACCAUUUAAUAGAAUGAAAUGAAAUAAUGGUAAGCCUAGGGUGACGAACAUGGCUCAAGAGUGUCUAUACAAAGCGCCUCUCUUCUUCACUCAAAGAAGCAAUGCACCCUUUGUUUGAAUGGUACUUGAUUCAUAAAGAACGAUUCUUUUGAAGUUAUACGGACUUUCUGAAAAAAAUGCCACGCUCCGCGUGUCACGAGAUAUAUCGCUCUCGGACUUCUUAUGGUAAGGCCAAUGCACCAGCCAGCCAGUGUGGUGGCGAUCACGCUGUGCUCUAAGCUAAGCUGUUUACCUUGUAGACGGAGGAGAUAUAGAGAGUGUGUUGUGCUUGAUUCAUAAGAUUCUAUAAUCAAUAGCACCAGUAUAUUAUUUUACUUAGCCUGCCUCUCCCAUGACUUUCUGGACCAACCAACCCGGAUCUGACUUCGUAAGUCUCUCUUUAUUUUGGGAGCAGAGCAUGCAGCAAAAUCGAGCAAUGGAUCUUAGAAGAAUUCCACUUUGAAGCACGACUCUUUCUAUUUCUGUGCUGGCAUUUGAGUUGUCUCCCUCUUUCAAUCGAAACACUCAAUGCAGAUAGCUCCGGUGGCCCCCGCUUCUGCCUCUAUCAGGCGGCGACAGCCCCCCCUCCACACCUACAGCAUAGAGGAGCUGCUCCAACAUCCGAACUACAACCAAAAAAAAUGCUCUCCAGAGCGAUAUAUGAUGCUAAACCGAGACCGAGAUAUAGAGAGGGCUGUCCUUUUAUUUUGUUGUCUCAAAGAGACAAAACAAAAGCACUCAUAUGAAUGGUGCUAAUUCCCAUGUUCUUUCUAGUCUCAUUUGGUUUCGAGAGCCUCCCUCUCCCUGUAGGUCGAGCCUCCUUUUUAGUCUCCCUCUCCCCGUCCCUUACUCGUCUUUUGAAAGCCGUCAUCCUGGAUUUUCUUUCCGUAUGCCGGGGAAAGUACCUCACCCUCACCUUUCUACAUUUAUUAUUAUAUAGAAUUUCCUCAGGUCUCUUUAAAAUAGAAUGAAAAGCCCGGGUGGAAGCACAAACAAAAGGAGAGAGAAAAAGUCGAAAAGAAAGGGGGGAAGAAGUCUAGUGCUAGUUCUUACUAACACUUCUUUAUCUAACUUUCAUUUUUGAGUGCUUUGUUUGUUCUCUUAUUUGCAUUGAAAGAAAGAAAAAACUUCCCUUUCUUUCUCUUCUUUAUUUUGGUUUUAUCCCUUUGACGAAUUUCUGCUAUGACCAAUGUCCCACUAGCUAAAUAGGCGUAAGAAAAAGCUACCUGAAAAAAAAAACAAGGUGCACCUUGAAUUGAACUCGACGAAUUGCGUUUUGCCAGAGAGAUUUUUUUAGAAAGAUUCUCCAUUGGUAAUUCUAAAAUAGAAAUAAUAUAAAUAAAGGCGCAUACGCGGGAAGGGGCCCCCCCUUUUUCUUAGAAUUCAACAUUUAUGAUAUGUUUUGCAUCUUGUUCGCCCACUCUUCAUUUAGGGUGAUUCGAACCAGGGGAGGAUCUUCCACCUUUAAGGUCAUAGCACCAGUACUUGAAUGAUUACUCUUACUGCUCUUCUCAGGUUCACCUCUUUUGGAUGCCCUGAGGUUUGAAGUCAUUUGUUUAUCACAGAACGAGUCCCCCUCAGUCACUGCCAUAGUUGACCCUCUCUUCCAUAUCCUCGCUUCUAUGAGCCAAAUCGCUCUCCUCGGGAGUUCUCUCCUUGACUACACCCUCCUCAGCUGUGUUACCCAAACACUCAUCCUGAGCAAUCUCUUCCCGUUCAGCAGUGUCCAGAUCUGGCAUCUUUGCCUUUUCUUGUUCAGAGACCUCUAGAACCGCAAAAUGGUUCGGGAUGACUAGGUCCAGUUGGGUCAUUCCACUCGUACAACUAGUGUCCAGCCCCCCUUUGCUAUUGUCACUACUGGUACCUGACCCCGUCGACUCGACAUUUUUGCAAGCACCGACCCUUACUCAAUAGGGCAAUUCAAAGAGGAGAACGAGGAUAGCUAACUAUCGCUAAAAGUCAGACUACGAGUACACAUUAUAUGAUUGAAAACUGUCGCUGCAUACUACCCGGUGCUUGCAGGUCUGACUGGUGCCUUCUCUCCAAUAGCUGCUUCAAUCAAUGUCGACGUCUAACUAUGCCCGCAGCUGACUACUUAUUGAAAGAACGAAUAGGAAAUGAAAAGUCGUACUACAACAACUGUAAAUAAACAUUCUCUCCCCGCUCUGACUUUGAUCGACUUGCUCGCACAACGUCUUUUUUGAGAGAAGAGGUCAAGGGGCUAAGUGACUCUCGAAAGUCGUCUUUUGUAUCGCGUCAAGAGAAAUGACAUAGAUAAGAUCAUUGCUUAAAGAGUUUCAUUGUCAAAUUGAUCUCGAAAUUGGAUCCCAAUAGUAGCUGCUGCCCAAAGGUGCUUUAUGAAAGCCGGUCCACAGCAGUGAAAGUACGAUUGGUUCCAUCGAUCGAACGAAAACCGCUUCUUGCUUUUUUGGCUUGACUACUCUGCUUGGUUAACAUAAGUCUUAUUUAACCUUCACGGACCACUUCACUACCCAGCAAGCUCCGGCUCAAAAGCAAGAAGCAAGGGCGCAGCAGCUGCGCGAAAGCCCUUGCUUCUUAGUGCAUCCCUUUUCUUGCUCGUUAGCGCUCUUUUUUUAUUGCAUCUAGCGCGCUUGACUAAUGAUGAUAGAAAGGGCCUUUCUCGCUUGUUUGAAGCCAUAUAAGGUUUUAUUCAAUUGUCAAACAAGGGGGAAGUCUACCACACCAACCCUUUAAUAGAUAGGGACUCCAGCGCAGCGGUAAGAAAAAGUCACUCAGUGAAUCGAUGGAUCACACACUUGGAGGCAGGGACAGGGGCAUGCUUGACUCUUUAGAAAGUAUACAAGUGUUAAAAGAGUGAAGUCUAGGGACAAGGUUAAACGUAAGGAAUGGCACCUCCUCCCUACUAAAGAAGUUCGCAAGCAAGGGACAUGCCGAACACCUACCUUUCCAACUAAGUCCAAGGCGAGGACCCUUUAAUUGACGAUGCAUUCCGUCGUUAGCAAGCGGUGGCAGACAAGGCCCUUUUCCAACGAGUCAAGUGGCUGAACUCCCCUUUCCCUAAAUAUCUUGGGAAGCGAAGAGGACAGGUUUGAAACUCAUUCGGUAAUCUUCUCCUGAAGGUAGGCAUUUCCCCAAGGCACUGAUAUGAUGACUCUCUCAAUUACAUGUGUUUUAGGGAGUUGAACAUCUUAUUCUUAUGAGUGGCCUAUGCGAAUAUAAGCCAGGAGCAAGGAUUCCAGAAAGUCAAAUUCUAUAUUGCAAGUGCAAGUCGACGUUCCAAAAGUGAAAGCUGGCCCUAAGCACGAUCCAAAGACGUUUAAGUCCAGUUCCAACCUGGAUAUAAAAGUUGACGUUCAAUCGUCGAAAGUGAGAUCUCUUUUAGUCCGGUCUUCUUUUCUCUUUUGAGUCAGGUUCUUAAGAUGGAAAUCGGGUUUUCUGAAUAUCUCUCUUCCGGUCUGGCCUAUUAAGUAAGUUAGUUAGAGAUCGAAAGCUGAGAGAGACUAAACUUUUAGUAAGAGUAGGUGCGCGUUAAGUUGAGGAGAGCUGUUCACAAGCAGUGGUUAUGAGCUCUUUCUUGUUCCGGUUCAGAAGAGGUUGCGCACGUUCAGUCGCAUUAGUGGAUUGAAUAACCUUUUUUUUGAGUGCCAACAAAGUGCAUAUGUUCUUGGUUAAUAAAAACACAAGUAUAGGCUAGAGGACUGAUACUAUAAGUAGGACAAAGGCCUUCAAAGAGAAAUGAAAGGAUUUUUGGAGCAUUUUUCCAAUUAUCCAAGGAAUCCCUUUCUUGACAUUUGUAUUUUAGAGAGAGAGUUGUGCUUAGGUCAGUUCCUUCAGUCCACUUUUUUGGUAAGCCAAAAGUGCACCCCACGGAGCGGUAAGUAAGUAGUCCCGUAUGAAAUUCAGAAAACAUUCAUAUCUGGCACUUGAGGAGGUCAAUCUUAAGUGUUGGAAGCUACCGCUAAGGAACUCCCCCUCAUCUAGAAAGGAUAGGCAAUUGAGAGAGAAUAAGGCGAUAGCGACAGACACAUGAACUGAAAUAAAUUUCGACGAUUACAUCCGUAGAGGAGAAGGGAAAGCUGCUUAGAUAUGGCGAUAGCCCGGUUUUGAUUGUUUAUCCUUUUCUGCGCGUGUCUUGUAUUGAGGUAUAUCGAAGAAAUGAGUAAAAGUAGGUAACAGAAGGGGAGGGAUUGCUGUUUUUUAUUAGUGAGGACAAGCCGCUUUCAUUUUCAACAAUCUAAUGGUAGGGCGAGUAGGCGGUUCGUAUCUUUCUAUGACCCCCAGAAUAAGAAGUUGGAGGAUAGGCAGAGCAAGAGCUCUUGAAGUCUACUCGAGUGCACUUCUUCAUUCAUCCAUUUAGGCCCGGCUAGGAACCCGUGGAUCCAGGGAACCUGGCUCGAGAACAGCUUCUUACUAGUAGGAGCUAAUCACAGUAAGAGAGUCCAAUCUCUGAAAUAGAGCUUAGUCUCUCCAUAGUAGUCUACUAGUAGAAGUCUUAGGUUAUGACUUGAUCCAAUAGAGUCAGAACACCUUUCUAUCUAAAAGAAAUGGUGCUUGAUGAAAGGAUCCAGAUUCCACACUAUGCUGUGGGCUGGGGAGAGAGCUGCUCUGUGAAGCUGGGCGUUCAGCGUUCUUAUGGAGGAAGCAUACUCGAAAGAGAAUUUAAAGGGUCAUCAAAAAAGAGCGAGGGAUGGAUGGGCAACCUUAGUCUAUAUGUUGCUCGUGAGCCACCAAGUACCAGUCUCGCAACAGUAUUGGCGCAAAAGGAUCGGUCCUUCACUUAUUGAUUGUUUGCGAGUCGAACUUGCUCUCUUACCACGCCUUUCACUCACUCUCUUGAGUCGGACUCAAUCACUCUUUGAGUUUGGAGGAUCAUUCGUUAUUCACUCUCUUGCUAUUACCCGCAGGGAGCGCAGCAACCAAGAUGCAUAUUAUCAUAUAGAAAGAGGCAAAGCGUAGAGAUUCGUACUACCGAAAACGUUUUGCUAACCGGCAGGCAAUAGAAUCAGCCGAUAGGCGCAGGCAAGUGUAGCGAAUCACAUAGAUAAGCCCCUACCUGCCAGCUAAGGAUGGAUAGGGUGGGCGAAGCACGAAGGGGAUGGAUGUCUGAGUGGUUGAAAGAGUCGGUCUUGAAAACCGAAGUAUUUUUUGAAAUACCGGGGGUUUGAAUCCCUCUCCAUCCGCGAGGUCAUAAGUUCUCUCUUGCCUUAUCUAUAGAUAAGAACAAAUCAGAUCGACUCGACUGAUAUGAUAGAUGGAAUGGUAGUUUGUGUUAUAUUUAGUUAGGACCCUGUCUCCCUUUCAUUAUCUUCUGCUCUCCUUGUAUAGGUUGGGAAAGGGCUGGGUCGAUUACCUUUGGAAGCUAAGUCGAAGAUCUCGGUGGUCUUGUGAGUGGUUGAUAAACUGCGAUUACAGUUUUCUUUAGGAAGUCCCAUAGCACUGAGGCUUAACAGAUAAAGAAAAGGGUGGAUACUUUCUGGGUAGAAGGUGACAACCCUAAUGAAUUGACUAUGAAGGUGGCUCUUAGCUACAUCAGCGCUCAAUUUCCUUAAUCGUUAUUGCCCAGGCUUCGAUGAUCAACCCCUGGCACAUUUAGGUUUUGAUCUUCGGCCAUCCUGGUCCUCAGGACCCAACACUAUAUUAUUCCACUAUAUUUCCUUUCAAAUGAAAAGAUGCAAAAGGUGUUGAUACGUCCUAUCCAUAUAAAAAUCUUACCCUCUUCCACACAUUACCGGUGGAUGCUACAGCCGCUAUCACUUUGGCUGCAGGAUGGGAAUGAAGGUCGAGGAGGUAGGGAAGAAAAGGUUAUUUGCUAUUGGCUUACCCUUAUAUCAGGACUUGGUACGGCCUAUACAUGAUGGAUGAAGUUUUUGGCAAGGUUCAGAAUGGAUGGUACCUAUAAUCAAACCAACCGUUGCAGUACUUGAGAAGAAAGCAAAAAUUCUUCUCUUUUUAUCUAUCUUAAGCCUGCUACUGAUUCCUUAUCUGUUAUCCUGACGUCCUGUAUGCAGGGUUGUUCAAAAAUCCCUUUGCAACUUCCUGGACCGUUCAUACUUUGUUCUGUAGUCUUUCAAUUACCAUAUAGUUUCUAUAAUAUAAUAAAGGCUAUAGGUCAUCGGUUGUGACGUUUACGAAGGGUCAACCCCUCAGAUUUUUGAGUUCUUGGCCUCUAUUCACACUUAAACAUCAUAUGCUUGUGUGGAUAGCUACUGAAAGGGUGUAUGGCACGACAAAGCUUUGCGACUAUGCCAUUCUUGGCGACGGUGAUCGCCGACGAGAAAGUGACGGCCACCCCAGUCAGAUGUCUCAGAAAGGGUAGUGAUCUCCCCCUGAAAAGUAUCAUGACCAUAAAGAGAAGAAAAGGGAGAUUGCAUGUUCAUAACAGAAAAUAGAAAUCUGUUGAUUAAAUACACUGCAGUAGUGAAUGCUUCAACCCAUAGAUGCUUUGGUACUCCAUUAUUUAUCAUCAAAGUCAAAGCCAUUUCAACUAUAUGUCGGUGUUUUCUUCCGAACACCCCAUUCUGCAGCGGAGUAUGAACACACGAUAGCUCACGUUUGAUUCCUAUCUUCAGGAGCAUGAAAUCAAACACCCUUGACACGCAUUCUCCGCCGGAGUUCAGACCUCAACCUCUUGAUCUGGAGAUUUGACUUAUUUUCCAAACUUUCUAUAUAUUCAACAACGAAAGAGCUUAGGACUUCUCUCUAAGUAAAGAAAGCCAGAUGUAUCUACUGUAGUCAUCCACUUAUAAUAGUAAGUAAAGUACCUUGCACCUAUGAAUGACUGCACUCGAGUAGGACCCCUUAAUGAAAUUCAAGUAGUUGUCUGUGAUAUAUCCAACAAUCAGCCGUAGGUCAAAUCACAAGUGGACACUAACGAAUGAAUCAAUCCAAAGAAAGAAUUGGAUUCUUAUGUUUAAUCCAGGAGCAUACAAUUGCCAACUGUAAACAAUCACAUGAAUUGUUCAACCCAUCUGAAUGAAAUGCAGGAAUAUACCCUAGACAAUGGAAGAAGUCUUGCACUGUGUGUUGUGUAUGUCUCAGGCGACGGCGGGUCCCAUUCCUUAUCCUAAUGAAGCAGCUGAAAAAAAGGAAUGUAGAGAAGAAUAUCCGUAUAAUAAAGCUUUCCCAACCGGCCAACGAUCCUUCCCGUGCAUUGAUCAUGGAUAAGACACUCAGAAGAAGAAAAGAUGACACGAAGAUGGUUAGCUGCAAGGUGACUGACAGAAAUUUCUUUUUAGGAGAAAAAUGGAAUCUAUCAUGAAAAAUCCGGGAUGAAGACAUAGACCCACAGUGUGAAAGAGGUAAGAGAGUGCCAUCUGCAAUGUUAACAGAAUCUUUGAUAGGUAAAGGAGGCAGACAAAAAAGCUAAACAUCUUUUUUCUUUCGCGCGAGAAGGAAAGCACUUUUGGGGGCUGACGGUACUCCUUUGGAUGGUUUAACGCGACUAGCAGACCAUGUCGUGCUCAAUCAAAUAAUGGACACUGACUACAAUUUGGAUUGUCUCCUUGGCUCAAUGGAAAUGAAACCCCGUUCUACACUUUAUCAAGAAAAAAAUCAUGCCUUUCCUCCAAAUACCAUUUGCCUUUUCCUCAGCCGACCAGCAAAACAACGAAUUCAACCGCAGAUACCCUUUAGCUAGCACAUGCUAAAAAGAACAAGUAAAUACCCGUCUCGUGCUUGACUCUAUCUGUAAGACAGGUGUGUGAAUCCACUUAGUAAGGAGACAAGACCGGAGAGAAGAAAUUCUAGCGAAUAAGAUAGUUGACUCAAACUUAUCGUAUACAACUCUUAUCUACGACAAGCCUUGGCUCUUAUCCUUGUGGACUCUUCACUAUAUCUGUUGGUGCUCUAGCUGUUCGAAAGCCAGGAGCAGCUACUGGCCUGGACUGAUUGUAAAGAAAGAAGCCAAGAGGCCGCUAGAGAAAGGGUUCCAUUUUCGAGUCUGUUUCCGAUUCUUCCGACCUUGAAUGACGGUUUCCCCUAAUGCCUCCUUGCUGCUUUCAAAGCUACACUUGCUUCCUUCUUUCGCUAAUAAGAGAUUCCAUUAUUCUACACUGACUUUACUAUGCUUCUUAUUAGUUAUAGUAACUAUACUCUCUGGGUUGAAUUACCACAACAGGGGCCUUCCUCAAGGGAGGAGUUCAUACCCGGAGAAAGAAAGCAGACUACUAAAUCGACUAUUUCAACAUAUUGUUUGCACUAGUCUCAUAGCCAUCUCUUUUAACAUAACCUUUCGGCAUCUUCCUUUAUGCUUCCCUCAAAUCCCCUCGGUCAUCCCUUUAUUCAAUAUCCGUCAUGCUAAGAAUAGGGGGUUUAGGAAGAAUACAGGCUUUGUUUCGGUCAGGUGUCGAACUCUUUUAUCUUUGCCAAGAUGCUUUCUCAGCGAUCUUUUCUCAUCCUGAAGUUGAUCUCCUAUCCUCUACUGACCCACCCUAAUCAGCAUUACUAUAGAUUUCGUCUCUCCCAUGGCUAUGAUUAGUAUAGAUCAUACCUUUGCCAAGAUAACCUUUGAGGUAUCUCAAGAUCCUGUAUACUAUAUGUAGGUGUGCUUGACAAGGAGCAUGCAUAUACUGGCUUACCAACCCCACAGCAUAGGUAAUGUCUAGUGAUAGGAAGAUAUCUAACGUUUUCCCACAAGCCUCUGAUGCCUGCAUUAUCCAAGGGUUCUUUUCUCUUUUCUUCAAGCUUAUGAUUUUCUUCUAUUGGGCUAAUUGCGGCCUUGCAACCUAACAUCCCUGUUUUCUUCAAAUCAAGGACAUAAUUUGAGAGAUGGCUCUACUUCUUAUAGAUUUCGAAAACCUCUGUGUCCAAGAAGUACCGUCAGCAUGCCAAGUUUAUGUCGAAGGUGCGGCUCAGGUAAGCCUUCAAUCUUGCAAUCUCAUCAACAUCAUCACCAGUGACCACAAUAUUCUAAACAUUUACUAUGAUCCGGCUCACUUUCUCACCCUUUAUUACAUUACGAAAUGUGUGUGAUCAGAAGCACACCUUUUGUAGCCAAACUAAACUAUGGCCUUACUGAACUUCUCAAACCACGCCCUCGGGGAUUGCUUCAAUCCAUACAGGGCUUUCUUCAAUCUGCAUACUUUAUGUGACUCCCCUUUCAUUCCAUAUCCGGGUGCUAUCUCUAUAUACACCUCCUCGUGCGAGUCCCCAUGCAAGAAGGCAUUUUUCACAUCUAACUGAUACAAUGGCCAUGAUCUCUGUGUAGCCAAGGAAAGUAAGAUUCUAAUAGAAAUGACCUUUGCCUCUGUUGAAAGGGUCUCGCCAUAGUCUAUUACUUUGGUUUGUGUGAAUCCUCUUGCCACUAACCUUGCUUUAUAUCUCUCAAUCUCCCACUUGGCUGGAAUUUCACUGUGUAUACCCAUUUACAUUUAGAUCCCACAGUCUUCUUUCCAGGAGAUAAAUCAACAAUCUCCCAUGUCUCAUUCUUCUCAAGUGCACUUAUCUCCUCCAUCAUCGCCCUCUUCCAGUGAGGGGCACACAAGGCUUCCCUUCUAGUCUUUGGUAUGGAUACCGAAUUACAAGUGGAUAUAAAGGCCUUGUAGGAGGAUGACAAUUUUGGAUAGGAUAUAUAGUAGUUCAAAGGGAGUUAGGUACAGGCUCUUUUUCCCCUUUCCUGACUGCAAUCGUAAGAUCAAGAUCAGAAGUUUCAGGGUUAGUUUCACUCUCUUCAUCUUGAGGCAUAUUAACAUUUCCCAAUUCAAGGGAAAGAUCCUCGCUGUUAACAAGAGGAACAUAAGGGACAACUAGUCCUCUCUUACCUCGUCAGGUCAGUAUGUCUUCCACUAAUUGGUCUUGACCGCAUCUUCCCCUGGAGGAGUAGUAGCAUUGUUUUCUCUAUGGGCAGAUGACAUAGGGAUUAUAAAAGACGGCUGAUCACUUGACUCAGGUUCUUCUUGUUGAUGACUCAAGGUUUUCUUGGUUGGGUCAUGAAAAUCGGGUUGAUUUGAAAAUCAAGUAACAUCCAUAGAGACAUACUUUCUUUUUGUAAUGGGAUCAAAGCAUUUUGUGAUGUCGGAUAACCAGUGAAGACACAUCUCACAGCUCUAGGAUCCAAUUUCUCAUGAGAGGUCCCGGUUACAUAGACAUAACACACACCCAAAAAUGGAAGAUAUAGAUCAAGAAUCUAUUAACAUAUUUACGAAUCCCAAUCCUGGAAAUAUAGCAUCCCACUUUUCUUUACUACCCAGGACUUCGAUACAUUUAGAAAUUAGGUAGAAGAAUAAAGUUUUUAGCAUUAGGAUUUCACACUUGUACAGGUCCCUUUCAAUACCACGGAAAGCAUCCCUAUUAAUCAGGUAAACCUAGGUUAACACUGCUUCAGACCAUAAAGACUUUUGAAGAUUCAUCUCAAAGGAAGGAUAAAACUAACCUCAUCCAACGAUAUUUGUUGAUAAACAGUAGUAAGACGAGAGAAAGAAUCCAAAAAAGUCACAAAAUCAUUAUAACCCGAUAAAGAAAGAGUAGGGGCAGGCCCCCGUACAUCAGAGUGAACUAACUCAAAUAGUACACUACAAUGACUCUCACUAUAGGAAUAUUACUUUAGAAUAUGCUUAGCCCUCUUACAUACAUAAGACUGCAACUCAGACACACCUGAUUCAGAUAAACUAGGAACUAAGACUCGCAUCUUUGACACAUGAAGAUGCCCUAAUCUACGAUGCCAUAACUCAACUUCAUUAUAAGAAGAAGCAUUCAAGGCCUGUGUGGAGGACAUAAGACUAGAAGUCUCAAGUGAUUGAGUUAAAGCUUUGGGCAUAGAGCGAAGCGAGCCCGGGAAGAGGAGUAGAGUCCAGCAACAUUGAGCCCCAAAAUAGAGUUUCUAUUCAAAUCCCUACUCAACACGGUGCCUUAAGAAGAAUCCGAAGCCGGUUGCUAGCGGAAGUAGCACGACAAAGAGCAAAGCGGAGCAUUCACAAAGAAAUGGUGUAAGCAGAAGGGAAGGCGCAACGGUUAGCGACUGCCCGACUCAGACACACCUGAUUCAGAUAAACUAGGAACUAAGACUCGCAUCUUUGACACAUGAAGAUGCCCUAAUCUACGAUGCCAUAACUCAACUUCAUUAUAAGAAGAAGCAUUCAAGGCCUGUGUGGAGGACAUAAGACUAGAAGUCUCAAGUGAUUGAGUUAAAGCUUUGGGCAUAGAGCGAAGCGAGCCCGGGAAGAGGAGUAGAGUCCAGCAACAUUGAGCCCCAAAAUAGAGUUUCUAUUCAAAUCCCUACUCAACACGGUGCCUUAAGGAGAAUCCGAAGCCGGUUGCUAGCGGAAGUAGCGCGACAAAGAGCAAAGCGGAGCAUUCACAAAGAAAUGGUGUAAGCAGAAGGGAAGGCGCAACGGUUAGCGACUGCCCGAGGAGUGAUCCCUCUCUUAUUUUCCCUUUUUUUAAGAUAAGAAAAGAGACAAUAAGCCCGUCAACAUUGAAGCUUCCGCUUUUGGCAGCUGUUAGGCAAGUGAUACCGUACGCAAGUCCGCACCUAUAUAGUGAGGGUGCGUUAAGGCGAGUUGAUGAGCUAAUACGGCUGGCUUACUUUUCAUAUGUAUGUGGAGGGAACCUGACGUUAAGCACUGGGGCCAGCCACAAAGGAAUAGGUUUGAAUAUUGAUAUAUACAGUCUUUCAGCUGACCUUUCCUAACCAUGCUUCGCAAUCAAACUAGAAAAAGACUAAGCAAGUGCUGUCCUAAUGAAAUGGCGGAUAGUUUAGUAUAACAUUCAUUCCUGACCGCCGCUGCCUGCUUAAGACUAAAAGCUAGUAGUGAGACUUCUAUUCUGCCGCCCUAUCUAGUAAGAGCCUCUAAAGCUAUGUUUGGCGUAAUCAAUAGUUUAGUUGGGCUCGACUUUACUGAAGAAAAAGGGGCGAAGUCUCAACUACCAGACUACUACUAUACCAAACGCACUCCACGAGUGGAUUAGUUGAGUGACUAGACUGAUACUCUAAACGAGACCAAUACUAUCAAAAAGAAAGUAGCAAAAAGCAUAAGAGAAGAAAAGUUCACAGAAGGUUGGGAAAUAGUAUGCCCGAUUCACCAGGUUCUACCACUGCAGGGCCCAAUCAUAGUCAAAAGAAGAGUUUGAUCCUGGCUCAGAAGGAACGCUAGCUAUAUGCUUAACACAUGUAAGUCGAACGCUGUUUUCGGGGAGCUGGGCAGAAGGAAAAAAGGCUCCUAGCUAAAGGUAGCUUGUCUUUCCUAGGAGGUGAGAAGAGUUGAAACAACGUGGCGAAUGAGUGCGUAACGCGUGGGAAUCUGCCGAACAGUUUGGGCCAAAUCCUGAAGAAAGCUAAAAAGCGCUGUUUGAUGAGCCUGCGUAGUAUUAGGUAAUUGGUCAGGUAAAGGCUGACCAAGCCAAUGAUGCUUAGCUGGUCUUUUCGGAUGAUCAGCCACACUGGGACUGAGACACGGCCCAGACUCCCACGGGGGGUAGCAGUGGGGAAUCUUGGACAAUGGGCGAAAGCCCGAUCUAGCAAUAUCGCGUGAGUGAAGAAGGGCAAUGCCGCUUAUAAAGCUCUUUCAUCGAGUGCACGAUCAUGACAGGACUCGAGGAAGAAGCCCUGGCUAACUCCGUACCAGCAGUCGUGGAAAGACGGGGGGGGAAAGUGUUCUUUGGAAUGACUGGGCGUAAAGGGCACGUAGGUGGUGAAUCGGGUUGAAAGUAAAAGCCGCUAAAAACUGGCGGAAUGCUCUUGAAACUAAUUCACUUGAGUGAGACAGAGGAGAGUGUAAUUUUGUGUGUAGGGGUGAAAUCCAGAGAUCUACGAAGGAACGCCAAAAGCGAAGGUAGCUCUCUGGGUCCCUACCGAUGCUGAGGUACGAAAGCAUGGGGAGCGAACAGGAUUAGAUACCCUGGUAGUCCAUGCCGUAAACGAUGAGUGUUCGCCCUUGGUCUACGCGGAUCAGGGGCCUAGCUAACGCGUGAAACACUCCGCCUGGGGAGUAAGGUCGUACGACCGAAACACAAAGAAAUUGACGGGGGCCUGCACAAGCGGUGGAGCAUGUGGUUUAAUUCGAUACAACGCGCAAAACCUUACCAGCCCUUGACAUAUGAACAAGAAAACCUGUCCUUAAUGGGAUGGUACUGGCUUUCAUAUAGGUGCUGCAUGGCUGUCAUCAGCUCGUGUCGUGAGAUGUUUGGUCAAGUCCUAUAACGAGCAAAACCCUCGUUUUGUGUUGCUGAGACAUGCGCCUAAGGAGAAAGUCUUUGCAACCGAAGUGAGCCGAGGAGUCGAGUGACGUGCCAGCGCUACUAAUUGAGUGCCAGUAAGAAGGUAGCCGACGCCUGUCAUGGCUUUUUGCUCGUUUGGUCUCGCUAUUUCAUUCCUGGUUCUCUCUUUCAAGCUUCUUUCCAUCUUGGGGAUUUCUUCUCAUUCAGUCCGUUCUUCUAGCUGGUGUCUCCUUCUCUCUUACUUAUCUAUUCCCAUCCAUCUUUACCUCUCCUACUCUACUACUUCCCUCCUUCAAGGCGUGAUUAAUGUACCUUAAACCUCUCUCUUGAAAAAAAGCAUUUUUAGUGGAGCCUUAGCACGUGAACCCAUAGGAACAGGGCCCUUCUUCUUUGUAAAAAAGCUUCUGAAUUAUCAUCACAUCAGUAGGCGCAGAAAGCAAAUCUUGGUAUUGACUUAUUGAAAAUCUCUUUGAGAUUGCUUAGACAAAUCUUUUUGUGUGAGGCCGCUCCACCUUUCUUACCUUGUUUUUUGGGCUUCAAAUUCUGUGACUCAUAAGCCCUCCGUAUCUAAAGAUAGAUGGCUAAAGGGCGGGUUCCGCAGUUAACUAAGAAGGCGAUCGAUUGGCUUGGAGAGGAAAUCGGGGACUGAAAACUAAAAGGAUAGGAAUGAAUUGAAUAAAGAAAGAAUAGAUAGAACCUUGAGCAUUUUCUCUUCUCGUCAAUGGUUGAGAGUAAAAAAGGGGUAUCCGCAUAGAAGGAUUGCUGGUAUACCGGGUAGAUGUUUAUCUUUUUGACUUCAGCAAAAAUGUUCAAAGCACCACCUUCGUCAAUUAUCUUGAUGUCGAAAGGGAAGAGGACAGGGUCUUACUUACAACAAAGUCUAAAAAAGGGGAAGUUUCCUAUCUUAGUUUCACUUCCUUGAACUGGCUACUACCGCGCAAUGUGCCCUUGCUUGGUGGGUCGUUAAUUAAUCAGUUUUAAAAAGAGGGAUGGAUUUCGACCUUUCUUUGAGUCGUCAGGCUAGUAAAGCGCUAUUUCUAAAACGAUCGUUAAGGUUAUUCACUCGAUUCCCUUGGUGGCUCUGCUACCGAUGGAUCAAGAUAUGCUGCCUGCCUAUCAUGCCAAAGGCGCUGCUGGUGGAUAUGCCAAAGAUGUCCUGGCUCUGAACCGGGUACUUGAAAUGCUAAAGGUACUUCUUAUGGUCCUGCUUCAACCACCCUUCCUUCUCUACCUUUUUCUUCAAAAAACUUAAGCUACUUAGACUGAUGCUGGCGAUCUCGAAGGGAGAUAUCUGGACCUGGAGCUACUCGUCUUGAUCUUUAUUAUAUUAGGAUGCGAGGAAGGGGAAAGAAGGUGAUAAGCAAGAAGAGGAAAGAAGAAUGUUAAAGAAGUCCCUAUAAGUACUUCACUUAGCCUUUCUAUAGUCUUUCUUCCCCUCUUCCCUCAAAGCGCGCUCUUUCAUCCAUGCGCAUGGUUCUUACUUUCAUUUCCCCCCGGAGCGCAUCUUGUUUUCAAAGAUGAGUUGUAGAUGAGUCGGUUCGAUCACCCCGCAUAUCGACGGUUUUUUAAUACCUUAUCCUAGGCCCAUCUAGUUGAUCGAGGGAUAGACGAGUAUAAAGAAGGGAUGGAGAAUCUUUUAUUUGAUCUUGAUUUGAUGUAUAUGUUAUGAUGCCUUCGUAUGAAGGAGGAUUGGGGGUACGGCAGAUAAGAAGAGCGACCCAAAAACGGAAAGAAGAGUAUGAGGGGCAGCGGCUCACCGAUAAUAAGAAGAACUCACAUUCUCGUCCUGACAAAUGACCAACCUGUUAAGGCAUCUUUCUCAAUGACCAUCCUCUCCCAUUCCAGUUCUUUUCUCUUUUUUUAAGGGCAAGUUCAUUUUCAUUCCCUCGAUAUGGCCAGGUGUGAAGCAACUUCAUGAUCCAAUGAAUUCCCUAAAAUCGGAUGACACAAGGCGAACUAGAAUAGGCUGAUUGAUCCAGGUAGCGACAGGCUACAAUCGAAAGGAACCGCACGUACGCUAGAAAGACGUAUAGGCAAGCCUUUCUUUAUGAUUAUAUGGAUCACUUUUUGUGACUUUUCUUUCCAUAGGCAUAGAUUGUAGUCUAACCAGCUUUCUAACUUUAGGGGACCGAGAAUCAGUCUUUUGAUCCUCCUCGAGCCUACUCUCGUCUUUUGAAUAUUGCUUCUAAUUUAGUUAGUGCAGACGCUGAAGGAUCAGCUGACACUAGAUAGGAAAGGUUUUUGAUCGAAGCUCUCAAACCUGUUCCAAAGUCACUUUAGGAUUCGGUUUUCGAUCCGGUUGAUGUUCCGACAUCCCGAAUCGAGGUGGCUCUAAACUCAGGUUGCCUACCUCUCUAGUAACAGAGAGAGGAGAGGGGCUUCGAUGCCUUAAUUCAAGCUAGAAAUCUCACUAGAAAACUAGCCAUAUCGAUCUAGGUAAGUGGUGACAACAAAAAGGCUUUUAAGCCUGAGGGGCGGUGAGCGAGGUAGGAUAAAAUGGUAUUUGAACCAGGGCGGGUGGCCCUAUAUAGUCUGUCUUUUCAUGGGCGGUGGGCAGAGAAAAAAGCCAUUCAUUAAACCUUUUGGAACUGGAGACGAAGAGUCGUUUAAAGACCUUUUCAAAAACCACUUUGUAGAGGGCGGGUAUCAUGCUCAAUAGAACCAGACUUUGCUAUGUCAAUAGUCAAUAGGAGAGAGAAAGAAAGAGAACAGCAAGAGGAGGCCUUUUUCUUUAUAUUUCUAUAUUUCGGAAAUCGAAUCAUCAUGCACUUUAGGCCCUUCUGAAAGCCAUGAGGCGGGGUCACACGAGUAGCGAAAGACUGUGCUUGCUCAUGUUCUCAUGCUUCACACAAACCCAGGCUAGGAAGCUUGAAAGCCAUAUCAUAUCAUAUGGAUAUAGAAAGUCCGAUCAAAAAACAAUAAAAAAGGACUGGGAAGGCUUGAAUGGAUGGCUUCCAAGGCCAGGGCUCGAUCCUGCACAAUUCAGACCAGCGAGUAUCUGUUUAAUUUACUUAAUGCACUCACAAGCGUUCGCAUCGCUGCCCUAGCUUCGUGUUAAGGGCACAACUUAAAGAACAACUUACUCUAUUGACGUAAUAUUCAUUCAUUGAAUUUACAGGCCAAAGAUUUAUCAUCUCUAUGGGAUUAAAUCCCGAGUUAUUGCGAAGUAAAAAACCGAUGAGAUUAUGGAAGUAAAUAUUCUUGCAUUUAUUGCUACUGCACUAUUUAUUCUAGUUCCUACCGCUUUUCUACUUAUCAUUUACGUAAAAACAGUCAGUCAAAACGAUUAAUUAUUAACUAAUUUGAAUGAAACUUGACUUCUGAGUUCUUAGCCAAAAUUGCCGAAAUAAAAUGAAAAAGAUUCCAAUUUCAUGUCUUAAAUGAAAUGAGUGGACUAGAAUCGGCAGUAUUCUAAUAGAUAGAUAGUAUGGUAGAAAGAUUCAUCUAUUUCUUUCUACCAUACUAUUUAUUAGUUAGAUUGUAGCUGCUCCCUGGACUAAAAUAAAGAUAGAGGCUGCAUUUGAUAUGUAAAGUCCAAUCAAAAAACAAUAAAAAAGGACUGGGAAGGCUUGAAUGGAUGGCUUCCAAGGCCAGGGCUCGAUCCUGCACAAUUCAGACCAGCGAGUAUCUGUUUAAUUUACUUAAUGCACUCACAAGCAUUCGCAUCGCUGCCCUAGCUUCGUGUUAAGGGCACAACUUAAAGAACAACUUACUCUAUUGACGUAAUAUUCAUUCCUUGAAUUUACAGGCCAAAGAUUUAUCAUCUCUAUGGGAUUAAAUCCCGAGUUAUUGUGAAGUAAAAAACACAUGAGAUUAUGGAAGUAAAUAUUCUUGCAUUUAUUGCUACUGCACUAUUUAUUCUAGUUCCUACCACUUUUUUACUUAUCAUUUACGUAAAAACAGUUAGUCAAAAUGAUUAAUUAUUAACUAAUUUGAAUGAAACUUGACUUCUGAGUUCUUAGCCAAAAUUGCCGAAAUAAAAUGAAAAAAAUUCCAAUUUCAUGUCUUAAAUGAAAUGAGUGGACUAGAAUCGGCAGUAUUCUAAUAGAUAGAUAGUAUGGUAGAAAGAUUCAUAUAUUUCUUUCUACCAUACUAUUUAUAAGUUAGAUUGUAGCUGCUCCCUGGACUAAAAUAAAGAUAGAGGCUGCAUUUGAUAUGGAUCUAUAGAUCAAUCCACAAUAUUAUCUUGAUAUAUGUGAAUAUCAAUUCCAUAUAUGGGAGUGACAUAGCAUCCAAUUCCAUUUAUUUGCUAUAUCUAUUUGUUCUGAUCAAUCUGAAUUAGUCUUAUGUCUUAUAUUUUGAAUUACUCUAUUUUUUAUUUCCAAUAUGAAUCUCGGUAUCUAUUGAAAGAAUCAAAUCAAUGAAGGAAAAGCGAUAGAUAUAGGCAUAUUCAAAAAAUCACGUAGUAAUCUUUUUCUUUAACAUUCCCAUGAAGUAAUUGAGUAAACCAUUGAUAGUAGUUCCACGGGCAUCAAAAAGAAAGAGUAAACCUCACUGAUUUUUAACGCCUGAACCAUGAUAUGAAAUAAGUUGAUAAAAUCUAAAUCCAAUUUCCAAAAUGAAAAAGCGGUAAAUGCGCAAUAUGUGUCCCACCUGACAACCUUAUUCUGCAUAGUAUCUCGUUAGACAACCAUUAUGUUUAUAUCCAUUCUUUCUCAUACAAAGUGCAUAUACACUUAACAAAAAACUUUUUCUUUGAACAGUAAAGAAAGAAAGAAAUAAAAAAAAGGGUCCGGCCCUCCUCAGUAUCACCUAGUAAGAGGCCGUUGAUUGGACUAGAAAAUUUAGGAAAGGGAAGUCUUGCAUUGUAAGCAACCUAAUUCCUAUGUUAUAGCCUUCGUUCCCUUCUCUGUCGGUGUGCUCCGACAGUGAACUCGAGAUAUCUGGUUCAUAAGGUUGCCAAUGGGGCUAGCGGCGUCCCUGCCUCAUGAAAGAGAAGCGAUAUCAUUUUGUUGCCCGAUGGAAGUCAAUAAGAGAGAAAGGACGAACUAGGAUCGACCUGCAUGUGAGGCAAGUAAAAGCUGCGAGUGAGAAAAGAUGGUUGUCAAAGAAGUUAUGGUGUGCCCUUCAUUAAGAGUAAGAGCGCAAACUUGGCAUUUUCGAUCUAGAAAACACUCUUAUUUUUUAGAAGUUUGCUAGGAGGUAAGGUUUAAAUAGGCUUCCAACUGUGUUGGAGUUUUAGACUCACUACUAAUGAAUAGGCUUCAAACAGCUCUUUUUUUUUCAACAGGCUGCAAAUCAUAAGGAUAAGCCUGAACCUAAAGCUCAAGGAGCAUAGUUCCAAUUCAAACUACCUAGAGAGAAACCUAUCAUAGUCCUAGCUAUAAGGGGUUUUCAGUGAAAGCGCGUGUUCUUAGAUUCGUAAGAAUAUGAAUCGUCAAAAGGAAGAUGCUGGUCUUUCAUUUAUGAUCAAUUAAUGGGACUUGGCCGAAAAGUGUUCUUGCCUCUAUCAUUAGUUCGGGUAGUCCCCGUUUCAGGUGUUUUAGUCACCUUUCAAUGGCUCCCUUAAUUAUGUGCGAGGAAUUGCCCUAUUUAGUAAUGGGAAGCGGGCUAGUCCCCGAAAAUGCCCCGCCCGUAAGUUCCUUUGUCAUUGGGGAAAAAAAAGAAGUGAUGCUCAAAAUCCCUGUGGAUAGGUUCAUCCAUUUUUGGUAGACAGGGAAUUUGAUGAAGUAGACAUUGGAUUGGACAGCGGCAAAGAGGGGCCUGAUCCAGGAAUGUCGGGAGCUUGCCCAAGGCCCGAAAUACACAGAUGCAAGAAGAGAGGGUAAACAGUCAAUUCUCGAUGCGAAGAAGAGCUCUCUUUCACAAGUCCAGUGGUCGCUUGCUAAGGUAGUUUGCAACCUUCAUUCUUAGAGUACAGGUAGUUGGAUGCGACUUAGCGGUCUAUAGAAGAGAGUGUCAGAUGUGAGAAAGAGAUAGACUGAGAUCCUGACAUUAUCGUUAGAGUAAGAUGUGGAACUCUUUUCUCCAACAUGCGGUCACACAAGAAGGUUGGAGUAAGCUAGUCGUGCCUGCACUCCUAAAGGCUGAGACCUUAUUUAGAGCAAUAAGAGUCGUCGAAAGAGCAAACUUCUUCAACAAUCUCUAUUCUUUCUUACAGCUAACCAUGAACAGCGUUCAGAGUCGAUUCUGUAACAAGAACAGUGAGGAUACUGCGCCUGAGUCACAGCCACACUCCACUCCAUCUAUUGCUCCUAUAGGUUCUGUGGAAUCAAAACUCCCUUUAGAUAGCAAAGAAUCAUUCCUGUGUCCCGCCAAGCCAAAGAAAGAAGGCAAGGUUCCCUGGGAAAGGCUCAGACUAGUGUCAAGGUCAAGGCAAAAAGCUUAGUCGUUUUCAACUCAGAGUUUCACUCACGGGAUUUCUAUUGAAUUCAGAGCCACCGGGCAUUGAUUCAUUGAGAGCAGACGAUCACUAAGAAGACUUGAGGAUAGGACGUGAGAUCCACUACUUACGUGACCAUCUGUCUGAGAUUCAUAUCUUUCUAGUUUGAUGAAACGCUCCUAAAUUAAAGCUUUUAGAAAGACUCUUUCUGACUAGACAGUCAGAUCUUUCAUGUAGUGGUGCGUAGACUUUCGCUUCAUGUGGGAUUUAUCUGAGAAUCAACUGAGUUGAACUUCACUCGAGGGCAAAUGCUUAACAUCACUAGUUUAGUGCCUUGUACAUAAGGAGAAGGACGACUGAAAGCAACUUGAUGACUUCUGCCCCUAGUUUGAAUACUGGCUACCAGCAUGCUUGACUUGCCCAUCUCCUCGUGAUUGAACUCGCAUUCAGCUAGUCUUCUUUCUUCGGUUGGUCUUGCGCUUGCUCGCCUGUCACUCACUUGGAUUUGCUAGACGCUUGUCUCUACUCAUCUGGGAUGCAUGACAUCGUCUAGCGAGAAUUCCGCUUGCACUACAUUUUCUGCCGAUAACCUGAGCUUACAAAACAUUGUAUAGCCUUCGGCUACCGUCGGAUUCAAUCUCAACAAUUGAACAAUGAACCAAGGACUCUGAUUUUAUUUGUUUUUAGGUAACCUGUUGCUCGAGGUGGGACUUGCAAGCUACCUUGCUUAUACCGUUGCCUUGCUUGCGCUACCUUGCCUCGCACGCAAGCAACUCGCCUUGCUUGAUCUGUGCAACCUCAGUCGACACUCAUCAAACUCGACUCUCUUCUUAUAUAGAAGACACUAAUAGCGUGGGGGGCCCGCCCUCUCCUAUUGGCGAAUCUCCUUGCUAUUGUUGUUUCAAAUAUAUAUCCCAUUCCUGGCUGUCCUGCGGCACAUGCGGUACCAGCUCUUUUUCUUGAUGUGGCUCUUUCGGAAGUUGCGGAAGAUAGUAUAGAUUCUCUUGUUCUUUCUUCGGCAGUUGUGGAUGUGCUUUACUUCUUUCUGAGUAUCCCAGUGCAGCUGUCUUGUUCAAGCUAUGGAUCUUAUAUAGAGAAGGAGUGUGAAAGCCCAUCUGCGGCUGCCAAGAGAAGGGAGCUGCCCAUUUUGGGAACCAUUGAAGGCCGCCAUCAACCCCCAUUCGAAGGGGCACCAGUUCUCCAUUUAUUUCUUCCUCUCCUUCCCUUCACUGGAUAGAAGCUAUCAAAACCUCCCAGUCAUCGAAGCUCAGAAGCAGUAAUCCGCAUUUCAAAAUGAAUCUCUUUCUUUUGUCCUUUAGGUUUCCAUCAACUUCAAAUCCAUCUGCCGCCCCCGUAUACUCUGCUUUCGGAGAGCCGAAACCAGGGACGGGAUAUGAGGCCACCUCUCCUAGUCUCAGUUGGUAUUCCCAUCAUUCAGUGAAGGCUCGAAGUCAUCUCCAUUCAUCAGAAACUAUCAAUUACGAGUCCGGGGCAGGCUAACCACCAGCAUCUUAUCUCUUUUCAUCCUUUCCGGUGGCACUAAUAGAAAGGAAGUACUUGCCAACGAACCUUGACUCUCUACUCUCUCCCAGCGAAUCAAGAAAUCUAGUGCGGUCAGGAAAUGCAUAAUUUGGAUUGGAAUCCCGGGAUUGAGAGACAGAUAUUUUCCAGGUCCGAUAUUUGAUCAUUUGCCGCUCACUAGCUUCUUUCUGCAUUGGAUCGAAUCAAUUAGAUGGGUCACUGGGAAUGGAUUAGCUUAUUGGUUGCUCCGAUGCCGCUCCGUACCCCUUGGAAGAUUGAGGAUACAUCAUAGGUUUUAUUGCUUUUGAUCCCUUUAUUUCUCUGCGGAGAAAAAGCUAGGUCAAGGGGAACCACCUACCACUGAACCUGUGGACGGGAUCAAAGAAUCAAUCAGUGGAAUUUUUAGGCCUUAGCCCUUCUUCUCUUUGCCCACAUCCACCAUACCUUAGCCUUAAGAACAACCAAACCACCGGUCAAUCGACCGACAGUGAACCAAAUCCGCGUUUUCAAACAAUGAAUCUAAUUCAAACUCUCUUAGGAUGCUCGUGGUUCUGGAACCGGCUGCCCGAACGAUCCAUACAAACCAUCUCCUGGCCGAAAAUGAGACCUGGUGGAGCAUCUUAGCCAGCCAUCUCGUUCCCCUCUUCCCCGCAUCUAAACCAUUCUUUCUUUUAUCUCAAUCUCUCGCAAGGGUACGUUUUCCAUCACGACUCAAAGUUUCUAAGGAUCCAUGGAAAUCAACGGCUUAGCGAGCUAGGGUUGAGUGGAGACAAAGAUGGACUCGACUUCUCUUCUCGCUCGGAUGCAGACAUAGAUGGAGAGUUUAACUGGUUCAUAAAAACAGAGAGUUGGAUCCGCAUCGGAAGGAGGAUCAGGAGAAGAAAGCAGGCAGUGUAUAAAGGGAGACUGGGAAAGAGCAGGGCUUGAACUUCCGAUUCGAGCUCACAGGAUAGAAAGGAUUCCUUUGAACGCAUCAUUGAUAGUUCCAAGUAGUCAAGUUGAUGUCACAGAUUUAAUCUGCCUCUACUUCCUCAAUAUCAAUGAAUAUAUAGCUUGAACCCCCAAACCCUGAUUUCAAAAUGUCGUAAGUGAUAUUCGAAAUCACUGAAUGUGUAUUGAUUGCCACUUAAGUAGGUAGGAUAAGUCUCAGAAUUACCAUUGGGAUUAUUUAGAUUCUGCCGACCCAAAAGCUAUUUCGCGGGUUAGCCACCUCGUGCAAUGUGUCAGUAGCCAUUCUGACAGGCAGUAGACACUACUACUACUGAAAGGGCGGUCAAUCUUGCUUAAUUACACUUUCACUUUGCCACAUCAGUACGACAAGGCGGACAUUGGUGCGCGGUAAAAAAGUUCGAGAUUUCAUUUAAGAAUUUUCUAUUAAUAAGCGUCCCUAUUUUUUGGAUAGGAUAGAGAAUGUGCAUUGCCUAGGGGAACUAUAGUCUAGGUCAGAGCUGAGUUAAUCGUAGUUUUUUAUCCAUAGGAUAGGGAAAAAAGGGAGGAGAAUAAUAAGAAUAAGUUUUCCAUAAAGAGCUCACGAGACUCCCCAUACGAAGAAAGGAGCGACCCGCCAGAUUCAAAUUAGCAUAUAGAAAAGUGGAAUCCGUUCUAAAUUCCCCUAAUUUCUUUCUCUCAUGUCAUGAGGAGUCGCUUUGGUGAUGCAGUUCAGCAAAUCUCACCUACAUCUGCGGAGCCGGAUAUCAGCAGGACGAUCCAAAAUAUUAGGUGGCCCGCGGGCAUAGAAAAAAAGAAAGACAAUUAAAAAACAAUUGUAUGACCGAUAGUAGUACAUGGUUGACUUGGAACUAAUUAUUGAAAACCAUAAAUGAGUUUUAUAUAUUCGAAAGCCUGCUCCUAAUAAAAACUAUAAAAUCCACACUCUAAAAGGUUAGAGUAGACAUCAGAUAGAUAUGAUGGGUCUAGCACGUGGAAACGCUCUUUAAUGGAACUUUAGCCUUAGCUGGCCAUGCCCGAAGUCCUUACCUUAACUGCAAGGAGGGGGAUGCCGAAAUAAAAUAAGGAUUCAAUCUAGCCACAGGUUCCCCUAUGGCUACCUUGUAAAGUUGUGAAAAAGCAAAGAAAGAAUGGCUAUAAACAUCAUCGACCUUUCAUUGAUCUUUUGCGCCUCGGGCGUUCGCCAGUCGAUCAACCAAGAAAUGAGUUGGUCGAGGCGGAGUGACUGAAAGAUCUCUGACGUCAUCAAAAUGCCUCCUUUAUACAGGAACACAUAGCCCAAGAAGAAGACGCUUUAAGAUGAUCCCCAGAGUUGUGUUCGCUAUUCUAAAAAAGAAAGAAAGAGAUUUUUUUGAGAUUCUCAAUUCUGCCUUUUUUGAUCCCAUGCUUUCCAUUGGUCAACAACUAACUAAAGUGCUCUAUACUUCUUCACUACUCCUACAGGCUUGACGGAGUUAAGCUGUAUUGAGGGAAUCAUUUUGUCUCAAUCAAUCAAUAAUGCCUCAACUAGAUAAAUUCACUUAUUUCACACUGGAUCUAGCGCAGAUUGUCUCCAACCCACUUGAACAAUUUGAAAUAAUCCCAUUGAUUCUUAUGAAAAUAGGAAACUUAUAUUUCUCAUUCACAAAUCCAUCUUUGUUUAUGCUACUAACUCUCAGUUUGGUCCUACUUUUGGUUUAUUUUGUUACUAAAAAGGGAGGAGGAAACUCAGUACCAAAUGCUUGGCAAUCCUUGGUAGAGCUUAUUUAUGAUUUCGUGCUGAACCCGGUAAACGAACAAAUAGGUGGUCUUUCCGAAAAUGUGAAACAAAAGUUUUCCCCUCGCAUCUCGAUCACUUUUACUUUUUCAUUAUUUUGUAAUCCCCAGGGUAUGAUACCUUAUAGCUUCACAGUCACAAGUCAUUUUCUCAUUGCAUUGGGUCUCUCAUUUUUUAUUUUUAUUGGCAUUACUAUAGUGGGAUUUCAAAAAAAUGGGCUUCAUUUUUUAAGCUUCUUAUUACCGACAGGAGUCCCACUGCCAUUAGCACCUUUUUUAGUACUCCUUGAGCUAAUCCCUUAUUGUUUUUGAGCAUUAAGCUCAGGAAUACGUUUAUUUGCUAAUAUGAUGGACGAUGAUAGUUCAGUAAAGAUUUUAAGUGGGUUCGCUUGGACUAUGCUAUGUAUGAAUGAUCUUUUAUAUUUCCAGGGGAUCUUGGUCCUUUAUUUAUAGUUCUUGCAUUAACUGGUCUGGAAUUAGGUGUAGCUAUGUCAAAAGCUCAUAUUUCUACGAUCUUAAUCUGUAUUUACUUGAAUAAUGCUAUAAAUCUUCAUCAAAGUGCUUAUUUUUUAUAAUUGAACAAAAGCGAGUCUGAAUGGGUAUACUUAGUCGUGGAGCAUUCCGAGUCUUUGCUUUAGGGAUCGUUCCUGCCCCUCUCCUUACUUUAUAGCAGUUAUUGCUCCGGUUCCAAAAGGUAUAUAGCUCUCGCCUCAGCUUUUUCUUUGAAAUCGGAGACUGUUCCAAUUUCCUACUGAGAUAGGCAAGCGGAGGGAGAACUAGACGUAUCUUGCUAGGCAAAGACAAGUUAGAAUGGAUAGCUCGCGGGUGGGAUUGAUGGGAUAGAUCACUAUUGUAGAAGGAGGUAGAACCAGGGGAAGAAUUAUGGCUAUAAAGGUCCUCGCCCUCUUAGGCACAUGGUUCUAAAGAUUCAAUCUCAAAGCGGUACUAAAGAUUAGGCAGAAGAAGAACUAGAACUCGAAUUCUUUGCCCCUCCCCCUGUACCAAGAAGCAAGUUCAGAACAUAAGGAUAAUGGGCUCCUCUAUUAGAAGUUAUUAGUUUACAGAGCUAUCUCAGAUAUCUCAAGUAAGGAGAUGGGACGGGUUUGAUAGUUAGAGUUCUAUUUCUAGGAAGGAAGAGACUAUUGGGAAGCUCACUCUCGGCCGGGCUCGAAGCAGAGGGUAGAACGUAAUAUCUCUUGUUUGUUCAGCUCAUCAAGCUAUUACAAAAGAGUCCUUAAAGAAAGCAAGCAGCAAGUCAGUUUGCGCAUAGCAUACUCUCUCACUUCUUCUCCUUUUACGACCGGUCGAAGGGGAAUGGGCCAACUCGAAAUGGACCAAUUCGAGAAAAGGGUCAAGAUAUGGUGCUGCGGUCAGAACAAGGAAUCCUUUCUAGGAGGAUAAUGCAAAUUGUGAUAUAUCUCAAUAGUUAACGGAAAGGAAUAGGCGAGAGGAGAAGUGUUGUUUGCAAGCGAACCCAAUAAUGCCAUGAGGCAGAGAGCCUUUUGAUGAAGCCUGCACCCACUGGGAAAAAGGAAUAAUAUACCUUGCCAGAGUUUCCCCAUAAGGGGUCUUAAACAACAUAAGAAAAAGCUUCACCGACUACUUUAUCCACAAGAAUGUCAUAAAGGUUCUCUCCGGUCUCCCUCAAAAAGACAGCUUUAGAGCGCAAGCCUAAUCACCAAUAAGCAAGUGGCUCUUUCAGUACAGAAAAGUUACUGGAUAGACUCAGCGUUUGGACUUCUGAUUCAAAGUCACACAUCAGAAUAAGAAUGUUGGGUUUGCCAAAGGGAUGUUGGGGUAAAAUCCCAUCAUAUCACUGAGGCGAAUACUGUCCUGUAGGACAACCUUUAAUCUGUGCCCUUUAACUUAUGAAUGUCUGAUCGUAAUAGGUAUUUAGGAGUUAGUAGGGCUAGGAUUAAAGUCUUGUUCUCAUUUUCUCUCCAACCAUUUGGUAGGAUUGAGGAUGACUGUUAGUAAGUUUAACCGGUCACGUCCACUACCUUCAUAUAUUUGAUUGGAAGGAAAAAAAACCUCAAUCUGUAUUUGAAGGGAAAGAUAGUGGAUUUCUCCGAAGGAUAAAACCCAAGGAGAUACAUCUCUUUCUGUAGAGAUGGUGUUUAAUAGGGAUGGGCAUCAUUGGUCCCACUGUAACCCGUAAUGGGUGAGUAGUUCCAUAUGAUGUUUAGUACUAUACGGUUGUGUGCUCAAUCAAAGGUAUCUAUUAUCAUUUGAUAGAUAUGCCGUAUAUAGCACACUUGAAGGGUCCAACAAAGAUCUUAGUUUGAUCAAGUUCGGGCCUGAUCGAGACGUGUUAUAAUGUGGAAUCAGUGAGGGAUUGAUGAUUACACCAAGGUACUCGGAAAUCUCUCAUUGUCAUCCUCUUUGAUAAUGCAUAUUUGAAGGUUAUUCAAGAGACAUCAGUAGACUUACCAUCUUCUGGUGAAAAGACGUAGUCUAUAAAGGAGCAAGCCAUAAGGACUUUGUAGAUCGUGAGAAUGCAUGUUCUAAUGCUUGCACGGGCUCAUCUGCUUCCAACAAUCCAAAAAAGUGAGUUUCACAGAAGGAAGGCUGGUUUGUCAAUGCUUGAACUUAUUGAUCUAAGUGAGCUAUGAGGUUAGUCUUCUAAGAUCAACUUACUUCAAAGUGCCCAAACAUUAUUUGUUAAUUGAAGGAAUGAUCCUAUCAGUGAUUAUGUACUAGGCUUAUCUAAUGAAUUGAGUCUUCCAAGAAAGGUUUCUAAUGAAUCUGCUAAUUGAGGUUCUAGAUUCGUUCAAAAGGCAGAAAGGAAUAGGCUAAGGGCCGUACCUUAAUGAUCCCUAACCAUAUUGAUGUUCCUGAGUUCUAGUCUUUCUGGUAGCCAAUGAUCUAAGGGAGCUAGCAGUGCAAAGAUACUCAAAAGUGGUACGCGCACAUAAAAAGCGGUUGGACGGUGUCUUUCUCUGUUUUGUUCCUUCCUCGGCAAGCUUGGGAGUUUCCUGAUGUAAGCUCCCUGGGUACGGUUUCGGAGUUUAUGUAAAUGCCCUAUCUUCAAAGGGAGCUGCUGACUUAAGGUAUCCCCUGAUCCGAGGGUGAGCUAGAAUUUCGUAUGGUGAAGAGGAAAGGAAGAAGUCAUUGUAAAGGAAGACGACAUUGACCAUUUCCACUGCCUGCCUAAAGGCUUAUUGGUAGCUCUUAGGUUCUCUGUCAGUAGAGUGAUUGCCAAAACCUAGGUAUGUUUUUGGAGAAUAAUAAGAAGAGACGGUCGUAGCUUUUAGAGACUAUCCUCUGCAGUUGUAGCUACGUGGAAGCCAGCUACUUAAUGAAAAGCCCCCUAACCAUUCCGCUAUUCCUGCCCUAAAGCAAGGGAAUCCGCUCUGACCCACCACCCUGGUAGGAAUUGCCAGAUUUACAGUUUAUGAAUCCUUGUAAUACAAGUUCUUUCCUCUAACGAUGGCUACUUCCUAUUCAAGUGCCACUUAUCUUAACACAACUUGAGAUAAUUGACUCCCAGCCUAGCUAGACCUGGUGAAAGCAAUCAAGCCAAAGCAAGAUUGAUUUCUUCAACGGUAAGAGCUGCAGAUGAAAUAGCAGUGGUUAUGCCGACAUUUUCCCUUAUCUUAUUGUUGGAUUAUCGGAUUCCAUUCUUUCGAUUAGGAAGGAGGUUCACUUAGAGCUUUCUCGGGAAUCAAAGUAUAAAGAGGGUGAACUCCGAACAAGGCAGAAGGUAUAAAAGACUCGGCUGGACAAGAGGAUCUACUUUCAUUACCUGGGAAAUGUUAGGAGGUGCGCUACCGUACUGCCCCACUUAUGAUCUUGCCUUGAAUCUUCCAGUUAGUGGACUGGUCUAUUGCUGCAGUAUGCUGCUUACCAGUUAUGCCGAAGAGAAAAAUAUGGAGGAUUGAUCCUAUUCACUGCUAAUCGUGCAGUUUCCUUCCAAUGAUAAGGCUUUCGGGCAGUGGAAGUGGCCUUCCACUUAAGUUUCUUUGUCAGUUUGAGUUCUAAUAGUAGGAGCGCCAAGGUAAGCCCUUGCAGCCAUUGAGAUAUAUCUAGUGGAAAUGCUAGUUUCCAGCUAUCCGAUUCAAGUCUUUCGUUCUGCCAGCAAGCUGGUGCUUGUAGCCUGUGGGUUAGACUGCCCUAAAGCGAGUAGGAGUGUACUCACAUGCAGUUGGAAAGUUUGAAAGCAGAGCAGGAGUCUUCAUCUCAAAUGGGCUUUGAUAGAUCUUUGAAAUUGGAAAAAGAUGCUCAGUCCACUCUCUUUUCAAUCCAGUUAUAGUUGGAGUAGUAAGCUCAUCUAGUUCCCCCUCUUUCUCUCUUUCCUGCAGUUUGAGUUUUAGUUGUCUUUCCUGUCGAUCUCGACGAGCCAGUCUUAGUAGUUGUCCUAAUAGGAGGAGGGCCAUGUAAUAGUUGCUAGUCUUACUUCCAUGGAGUGGUAGAAAGCGAAAUUGGGAGAAAUUUGACAUCCUGUCUUAUCUUAUAUCGAUUUUACUCUUUUUGUCUUUCUGUGCCAUCUUCAGGCGAUCGUAGACUUUAUCUAAGAGGUGGAUUUCCCUCGAUAGUUGGGCAUAUUAUAUAUGAUGGAUACGAGUGGGCCAGGCAAGUGAAUAGGUAUCAGGCCAGGUUACUUUUCUGAGAGUCCUAAGGAGGCUACCUAAACAAUCAUUGAAAGGCUUAAGAGAGGUCAGGAAGGACAAAUCAAAGAGAAGGGUGGUUCGUAGAUUAGUAUGAGUAUGAACUUCAGCGUGAAGUGGUCAGGUUCACUCCUUCUAGAGGAAUGGAUUCGUGUACUGAUUGCUUGUCUUAGCUUCUAUAUCCCUCACUCGAUAGAUCUUCAUUUGUUAGAAUGAAUUCCUUAUUGCUCUAAACGAGCUACAUGACUCAGGUAGCUUGUCUCCAGAACCUCCACUUCCCACAUCGAGCUUAGAAACCCGGUCUUUUUCAUUAAAAAAGAAAGAUUUUAGCAAUCCUCAUCAAGGAAGGGGUCCCAUCGCACAUCCGAUUCAUGAACAGAGGAUUCGUAAACAGACAGGCUUGACAUUCCUUAAAAAGUGGAAAAGAGAGGAUUUGCAAGAUCAAUAAAAGUCAAAUAGCGAAUAGAAUGACCUAAGAGCAAAAGUCUUGGAAGAGUGAGCGCAGGGAAGGAUAUUUCUUUACAUAAAGAAGUCGAUUUCAAACUCAUUUCACUCCUCUCGUUUAUACUAUUUUUCAAGGUCGGAUUGGAAUCUUCACUCCCUUCCUGAAGGAAUUCGAUGAAGAAAUCGUCUAUCUUAUAGAGCUUUUUCCUCUCCUCUCUUUAAACUGAGAAAGAAGAAAGAAGUCCCUCGACUUUUAUUUCAAUAAGUGUCUGUAGACACAAAGUAGUGUGAUGUAUUGCUUUCUUUGUUAUGUUGAAUGAAGUUCUAUGUCCUUUGUUCACUUAAUUAAGUAAAGUUGUGUCUUUGUUUGGUUUGGUUUGUUGUGUUUGCAUGUAUGGUAUGGGCCAAAACCUAGUCUAAAGUGUUCACUACUUAUGUGAAUUGUGAAUAUAAAUAAUAAAGACUUUUUCGUAAAAAUGUGCAUGUGAAAGUUGAAAGAAAGCGUACUGUAGAUGUGCUUAUUAAGCCUU